rnacentral:tRNA from 2 species
GGCAAAUUUUAUUUCUUUCUUCUAAAUUGAAUAGGAAUUUUUAAGUUCGUUUGCUU